CACCUAAGUUAAGCAACAUUGGGCGCGGUCAGUACUUGGGUGGGUGACCACCUGGGAACACUGCGUGCCGUU